GAGGGGAUAGCUCAGUGGUAGAGUGCAUGCUUAGCAUGCACAAAGUCCUGGGUUCAGUCCCCAGUACCUCCA
rnacentral:tRNA from 1 species